UGAGAUUCUAAGUGAUUAAAAAAAAUAGCUUUGGAAUUUGUACUAAGCCAACUGUGCACAUGGUACAGAAUGUUCUCAGAAGCAAUAGGACUCAUGAAUAAUAAGGCAGGCCAUUUCCUGGACUUUACAGUCUCCUUCGCCUGGCAUUCUCUCUUGCCCACAAACCUUUUGCCUGCUGACCUGAAUCUGGAUUCUCUCCUCUCCCAGGCAGCUAAUGCUGGAUUGCUCCAGAUGGCCAAGCUGAAUCAACACUACCCAGCAGGAAGGUUGGGUUCGUUUCACAGCAGCCCCACGUCCCCCUGGAUCCACACCCUGGGCCCCUUCAAUAAUGUGCUAUGGCUCUGGCUGCUGCUGAGGCUGACCAUAAGGGCAUUACCCAGCGUACCUUGGAAGAUGAACACCAGCUCAUGAACUCACCAGAGAAUCUGGGGCCUCUAUGACAUGCUCUCAACCAUCCAUCCACGGAAGGAUCAAUUCAGCAAUACUUUUGCAUUUACACUGUGAACAUAAAAAUGUUCCAAAGUACAAAAUCAUUAAGGUUUUAAUCUCUCAAAAGUAGUGGAGAAAUGAAAUUAUCCUACUAGCAGCUAGCUUUCUCCAAAGGUUUGAAAUGCUAUAUUCAAAACAAUAGACAAUAACUGAGCAUCUACUAUGAUCAGAGGAUGAGGGUACUGGAAGUAAAACCACUGAAAUGUGGGUCUUGCUUCCCAAGGAAUCACCAUAAAGCUAUAGGGAUGUGCACAUAUACAGUAAUAUUUCACAUCAUACUAUGAUAGCAAAUAUGAUUAGCAUAAGAUUAAAAACAAUACUGAACAGAGAAGAUGCUUAAUUUUGAGUGAAAGAACAGUAGGUUACUAUAUUACUUAUAUUUUUAUCUAAAUAUUUUUCUGAGCAAAUAAAGAUGUUUUAGAAUAAAUUUUAUUUUUCUUGCCUUUGCAUAUCACUCUCCUUUCCUAAUAUACACAUACAAAU
rnacentral:lncRNA from 1 species